GCAGAGAGUUCUGGAGUAAGGGAAUAAAAGAAAUAAAAGAAAGGAAAGAAAUGUAUUUAAGGAACUGGAUCUGAGCUGUGAGCCUUAUAGGCACUAUCUCAUUUAAUGUCUAAAACAAAACUGUAAAGUAGGUAUGACUAUCUCUGAGAGAUAAACAGAGACUCGGAGAAGUUAAUUAACUUUCCAACAUUGUCGUAGCUACUAAGUGAAAGACCCAGAAUUUGAAAGCAGCUGGGCUGAUUCCACAGUUCAUGCUUUCUACUUGCUGAACUCUGCUCUCAUGCCAAAUGGCACCACCCAGAAGAUGCUGAAAAUCCAUAGGGGGAGGAUAGAUUUACAUUGAUAAGGGGGAAAAAGGUCUACUUAAAAAAGGAAACCAGCAAAUACAAGAUAGGAUACAAUAAAAUGCAACAAGGAAGGUGGUCAAGAAACAUAACGCAUGGCCAUGGACAAAAAGCAAAGAAGAGGAACAACCUGUGUUGGAUGGAGGCCGGAGUGUAAUGGCACUGCUCACUGCAACCUUUGCUCACUGCAACCUCCACCUCCUCAGUUCAAGCAAUUCUCCUGCCUCAGCUUCCUGAGUAGCUGAGAUUACAGGUGCCUUUCACCAUGCCUGGCUAAUCUUUUGUAAGGAUCUGGGGGAAGCCAGUUGUGCUUCUUAAGGCCUCCCUGUUGAGAGACUCAUGCCAGUGAACUUGGAAGCAGAUCUCCUAAAGCCUCUCAACAGCUACAGAAAUUAACUUGAAAGGAGAUCCUCUAACCAGCUGAGGCUUGAGAUGACUGCAGCCCUGGCCAGGACCUCAGUCGCAGGCUGUGAGAGUCCUGGAGCCAAAAUCACCCAGAGAAGCUACUCCUGGAUUCCCAACACAGACCAUUGAAAUAAUAAAUGUUUAUUGCUUUAACCUCUAAGG
rnacentral:lncRNA from 10 species